rnacentral:rRNA from 1 species
UCCAGACUCCUACGGGAGGCAGCAGUGGGGGAUAUUGCACAAUGGGGGAAACCCUGAUGCAGCAACGCCGCGUGAGUGAAGAAGGUCUUCGGAUUGUAAAGCUCUGUUCUUGGUGAAGAUAAUGACGGUAGCCAAGGAGAAAGCUCCGGCUAACUACGUGCCAGCAGCCGCGGUAAUACGUAGGGAGCGAGCGUUGUCCGGAUUUACUGGGUGUAAAGGGUGCGUAGGCGGCCCUGCAAGUCAGAAGUGAAAUCCAUGGGCUUAACCCGUGAACUGCUUUUGAAACUGCAGGACUUGAGUGGAGUAGAGGUAGGCGGAAUUCCCGGUGUAGCGGUGAAAUGCGUAGAGAUCGGGAGGAACACCAGUGGCGAAGGCGGCCUACUGGGCUUUAACUGACGCUGAAGCACGAAAGCGUGGGUAGCAAACAGGAUUAGAUACCCGUGUAAC